UCAGAAUAUGCUCCCAGGAGAGUGGGAAGUAGAAGGAGAGAUGGGAUAACUGGGUUCACGCUGUUGGCCCUGGAAUCCAGAGCUGUUCCAGGCUGUGGAACGACGCAGAGGAAAUGGCCGACCGCGAUGGAUGUGCGGCAGUAAGGAGAUGUGAUCAUCCACUGGGGAAUGAAAAAAAUUUAAUGAAGUGGACUCUAAAGAUAAUAUUUUUAUGAUGAUGUACUUGUGAUCCCAGGACAGCCAUGCAUGGAAGGAUGAGACCUCCCAGCAACUUGGAACCGGGCUUUAUGGACACCUGCACACAGUUCUGUGUUAAACAAGGACACAGGGACUGGAAUCACUGCAUCAAACCUGGACAUAUGCUGUAUUUGAAGAGUGAAAAGAAAUACAGUGAUUUAUGGACUAGCCAAUCUACAGGCUCGCUGAUCAACAAAACAGGAGCU